rnacentral:rRNA from 1 species
GAUGAACGCUGGCGGCGUGCCUAAUACAUGCAAGUCGAGCGAACAGACGAGGAGCUUGCUCCUCUGACGUUAGCGGCGGACGGGUGAGUAACACGUGGAUAACCUACCUAUAAGACUGGGAUAACUUCGGGAAACCGGAGCUAAUACCGGAUAACAUGUUGAACCGCAUGGUUCAACAGUGAAAGACGGUCUUGCUGUCACUUAUAGAUGGAUCCGCGCCGCAUUAGCUAGUUGGUAAGGUAACGGCUUACCAAGGCAAUGAUGCGUAGCCGACCUGAGAGGGUGAUCGGCCACGCUGGAACUGAGACACGGUCCAGACUCCUACGGGAGGCAGCAGUAGGGAAUCUUCCGCAAUGGGCGAAAGCCUGACGGAGCAACGCCGCGUGAGUGAAGAAGGUCUUCGGAUCGUAAAACUCUGUUAUUAGGGAAGAACAAAUGUGUAAGUAACUAUGCACGUCUUGACGGUACCUAAUCAGAAAGCCACGGCUAACUACGUG